CCUACGGGAGGCAGCAGUGGGGAAUAUUGCACAAUGGGGGAAACCCUGAUGCAGCGACGCAGCGUGAAGGAAGAAGUAUUUCGGUAUGUAAACUUCUAUCAGCAGGGAAGAAAAUGAUGGUACCUGACUAAGAAGCCCCGGCUAACUACGUGCCAGCAGCCGCGGUAAUAUGUAGGGGGCAAGCGUUAUCCGGAUUUACUGGGUGUAAAGGGAGCGUAGGCGGUUUAGCAAGUCAGAAGGGAAAGCCCGGGGCUCAACUCCGGGACUGCUUUUGAAACUGUUGGACUUGAUUUCAGGAGAGGUAAGUGGAAUUCCUAGUGUAGCGGUGAAAUGCGUAGAUAUUAGGAGGAACACCAGUGGCGAAGGCGGCUUACUGGACUGUAAAUGACGCUGAGGCUCGAAAGUGUGGGGAGCAAACAGGAUUAGAUACCCCUGUAGUC
rnacentral:rRNA from 1 species